rnacentral:rRNA from 1 species
GAUGAACGCUGGCGGCGUGCCUAAUACAUGCAAGUCGAGCGAACGGACGAGAAGCUUGCUUCUCUGAUGUUAGCGGCGGACGGGUGAGUAACACGUGGAUAACCUACCUAUAAGACUGGGAUAACUUCGGGAAACCGGAGCUAAUACCGGAUAAUAUUUUGAACCGCAUGGUUCAAAAGUGAAAGACGGUCUUGCUGUCACUUAUAGAUGGAUCCGCGCUGCAUUAGCUAGUUGGUAAGGUAACGGCUUACCAAGGCAACGAUGCAUAGCCGACCUGAGAGGGUGAUCGGCCACACUGGAACUGAGACCCGGUCCAGACUCCUACGGGAGGCAGCAGUAGGGAAUUUUCCGCAAUGGGCGCAAGCCUGACGGAGCCACGCCGCGUGAGUGAUGAAGGUCUUCGGUUCGUAAAACUCUGUUAUUAGGGAAGAACAUAUGUGUAAGUAACUGUGCACAUCUUGACGGUACCUAAUCAGAAAGCCACGGCUAACUACGUG